GCGAUGAAGGACGUGCUAAUCUGCGAUAAGCGCCGGUAAGGUGAUAUGAACCGUUAUAACCGGCGAUUUCCGAAUGGGGAAACCCAGUGUGACUCGUCACACUAUCAUUAACUGAAUCCAUAGGUUAAUGAGGCGAACCGGGGGAACUGAAACAUCUAAGUACCCCGAGGAAAAGAAAUCAACCGAGAUUCCCCCAGUAGCGGCGAGCGAACGGGGAGGAGCCCAGAGCCUGAAUCAGCAUGUGUGUUAGUGGAAGCGUCUGGAAAGGCGCGCGAUACAGGGUGACA
rnacentral:rRNA from 1 species